GUCCAAGUAAUUUAACAAAAAUACUGGUCUUGUAAACCAGCAAUGAUGGUUCACCCCCUCCUCGGACA
rnacentral:tRNA from 1 species